rnacentral:rRNA from 1 species
GUAGGUGGCAAGCGUUGUCCGGAAUUAUUGGGCGUAAAGCGCGCGCAGGCGGUUCUUUAAGUCUGAUGUGAAAGCCCACGGCUCAACCGUGGAGGGUCAUUGGAAACUAAAAAACUUGAGUACAGAAGAGGAAAGCGGAAUUCCACGUGUAGCGGUGAAAUGCGUAGAGAUGUGGAGGAACACCAGUGGCGAAGGCGGCUUUCUGGUCUGUAACUGACGCUGAGGCGCGAAAGCGUGGGGAGCAAACAGGGAUUAGAUACCCUGGUAGUCCACGCCGUAAACGAUGAGUACUAAGUGUUAGGGGGUUUCCCGCCCCCCUUAGUGCUGCAGCUAACGCACUAAGCACUCCGCCUGGGGAGUACGGCCGCAAGGCUG